rnacentral:misc_RNA from 1 species
UCCGGUAGUUAAGUCAUUACUAGGAAGUCAGACUCAGAAUACCUAGCAACUGCUGACAACGAGUGGUACAUGCGACACAGUGACCAGACGCUGGAGAAAUAGCAAUGGCCACAUCGAGUGAUCUCGAUACCCUGAUCCAGUUGGAAGAAGAUGAGGAGGAGGACUUUGAGCUGACACAACGUCGUAUAGAGGCUGAGAGAGCUGCUAGGGAGGAAGAAGCGUUCAAAAGGAACACCCUCCAUCUUGACAUCCCCCAACUUCCAGACGGAAAAACACACCAUCUUUUCAUUUCCCACAGCAACGACCCUCCAGAAGAAGAAGCAUGGGCAGAGGAACUGGUCAACACCAUGGAACGAGACUUCGGCUUGAAAUGUCUUUGGCCAAAACGAGACUUCACUCCUGGCCAUGAUGUGGGAGCUUUGAUUCAGACAGGAAUCAUGUCGUCCAUGAAGGUGGUCUUCGUUCUGUCCCCUGCUUCCAUGGAAAGCCGAUGGUGCGAAUAUGAGCGGAAUUUUGCUUUUGGCAUUUCUGUUGAAAGUAAGGAAAAUCUCAUCAUUCCUGUUAUGUUGAGCCAGUGCAACUUUCCAGGCAUACUGAAGACACUGAAUUAUAUUGAUGUACCUGCUGGAGAGGACUAUGCCUUCAAAAUCCGUCGAUGCUUUGACGAAGACACACGCACUUUUGAAUAUCUUGUUCCGGAAAUGAUGAAACACUGGAAAAACGAUAACGGGUCAAAGAAUGGAACUGUUGUGAAGAUAGUUGGAGAAAGAAAUGUGAAAUCCAUCUGUAGGGAACCAGCCUGGUCUUUUCGAGAUCUCGACAAGCACCAGCGCUACCAGCUUCGCCAACUUGGAAGCAAGUUUGCUGAGAGAGUUUAUUACGGUGCAAAGGAUAUUGCCAACAGCUCUAUCUGCAUGAAGUACUAUUCCAUCAUCCACUCUCCUUGUCCUUGUUUCGGCGUUUGGCUUGGCAGCACUAUAUUUUGCAUUGCAUUGUCACUGCUAAUUGUCUUCAUCACCGUAGCAUCAGGAAUAAGCAUGGGAUAUGAGGUUCUUUAUGUACCCCUCCUUAUACUCAUACUCGCGAUUUCCCUCGGUGUUGUUGGUCCGUGCUAUACAUUUGCGGAUGGAAAAGAGAUUGAGAGCUCGACUGCGAGCAUAUUCUAUUGAGCGUGUUUUUGAAACAAAUAUCCUCAUCGACUAUAAAUCAAGAAAAUGUCAACCAAACUUGGAUGUCACGUAUUACGACCUACAACCAUGUAUGAAAUACUUAUGUGACAUCAUUGACGGACCACGUGAGGCUGGUGAAACAGUCCCAGACAGAGGCGAAGAG